AUGUGAUGAUGCUUGCAGUAGAGUUUCCCCUCAUGGGCAAUAUAAUUUGAUGGGCUGAUGGUGCAACCUCCAUGGCUGCACUUGAAGCAGCUCCUAUGAUAUGCGGCGCCAUUUACAGAAACCUAUAUAUAUAUAUAUGUAUCACAUAAAACACCGGCAAUUAUUAGAAUCAGAAGCUGCUUUGUUUAUUCAUUCAAUAUGGUAAAAAUCGUAUCAAACCCGUUUGAAUGUUGGGCAAAUGCAUGAAUGUUUGUUACCUUCUCAGUUGGAUAAACAGUCCUAUCGCAUCCCACACAUUUAUCUCUGGUGCCCACAAACUUGUUGGAGACUUUCUGUGCAUUCU
rnacentral:lncRNA from 1 species